rnacentral:rRNA from 1 species
ACAAUGCGGAACAAUGUUUUGCAAUUGGAUUGAGAACAACGUACAAACCUUAUCGAUAAACAAUUGGAGGGCAAGUCUGGUGCCAGCAGCCGCGGUAAUUCCAGCUCCAAUAGCGUAUAUUAACGUUGUUGCAGUUAAAAAGCUCGUAGUUGAAAUGAAGGGUAGUUGUGUAAUGAAUACAUUCGUGUAUUUUGUUAUUCAACUACCCUCCUUCUAAAUUCGAUAUAUGAGUAUUAAUUUACUUGUAUAUGGUUUUAGACGUUUACUGUGAGAAAAUUAGAGUGUUCAAAGCAGGCAUUUGCUUGAAUAUAUUAGCAUGGAAUAAUCAUGUAUGAUUUUCAUGAUGUAUUUGAUUGGUUUGGUUCAUGAGAAUAAGAUUAAAAGGGACAGUUGGGGGUAUUCAUAUUCAAUAGUCAGAGGUGAAAUUCUCGGAUUUAUGGAAGAUGAACAAGUGCGAAAGCAUUUACCAAGGAUGUUUUCAUUAAUCAAGAACGAAAGUUAGGGGAUCGAAGAGGAU